GAUGAACGCUGGCGGCGUGCCUAAUACAUGCAAGUCGAGCGAACAGAUGAGGAGCUUGCUCCUCUGACGUUAGCGGCGGACGGGUGAGUAACACGUGGAUAACCUACCUAUAAGACUGGGAUAACUUCGGGAAACCGGAGCUAAUACCGGAUAAUAUAUUGAACCGCAUGGUUCAAUAGUGAAAGACGGUUUUGCUGUCACUUAUAGAUGGAUCCGCGCCGCAUUAGCUAGUUGGUAAGGUAACGGCUUACCAAGGCAACGAUGCGUAGCCGACCUGAGAGGGGGAUCGGCCACACUGGAGCUGAGACACGGUCCAGACUCCUACGGGAGGCAGCAGUAGGGAAUCUUCCGCAAUGGGCGAAAGCCUGACGGAGCAACGCCGCGUGAGUGAUGAAGGUCUUCGGAUCGUAAAACUCUGUUAUUAGGGAAGAACAAAUGUGUAAGUAACUAUGCACGUCUUGACGGUACCUAAUCAGAAAGCCACGGCUAACUACGU
rnacentral:rRNA from 1 species